CUGCUCGAUGCUUGUGUGCUCUGCUCCUUUUCCUGACGCCUAUUUAUACUGUACCGUUUUUGCGCACGUCGGCUAUCACGCAGACAGCAAUAUUGCCCAUUGCCCAGUGCUGUAAUUACAAGGAAAAUGAGUUAUUGCACAGUCGAUUGCACUGUAAAAAAUCCAACUCGCAAAAAGUUUAAAUAACUAUUUUUUAUUUGUUAACUGGACAAAAAAACUAAAAAAAAAAAAAAGUUGACUUAACAAGUGGGAAUAAGUUGGUUCAAAAAUUGUUUAACUGUUGAUUGGAUAUACACAUACAGGUUUACAAGCACACAAGCUUAAAGUAAGUAUCUUUUUUCUGUGUGUUUUGAAACUGAAGUUAAGUAAUGUAAUGUCACUGGGCAAGCUUAUUUUAAAGCGAGUUUUUAUGAAAGAUCUAAUCAAGGAGAAAAUAUGUCUCAAUCCCGGUUUUAUAUCUUGCAAAAAUCUUUUCAAAUCAGGGCUAUAUUCAACACAGUUAUUGUUAAUUAUUUGCAAUUUGUCACAGACUUAACUCGGAGUGUAAUCGUGUUGUUUAUUACAUCACAGAAAACGCUGUUGGAGCUCAUGUGAUAUCGCGCCAGCACAACAUCACCUCAAAAAUUCAUUCAUUCAUUCAUUCAUUCAUUCAUUCAUUCAUUCAUUCAUUCAUUCAUUCAUUCAUUCAUUCAUUCUCUACCGCUUAUCCGAACUUCUCGGGUCACGUGGAGCCUGUGCCUAUCUCAGGCGUCUCAAACUUCAUCGUUUAAAAUUGGUUAUGAGUUCAAAUGCAUUACCAAUGUGGAUCUCCUUGAUACAUUCAGAUCAUCGUUACACCAACAUACACCACAACUUCUGAAGUUGUACAGAGCAAGAACAGGGGGCUUUUGGAAAAGAGCUGGAAGAUCUUCUUAACAGGCUUGAUCAACAGGUGAUAACAACCUUCUGAGCCUUCCAGUAGCCACAGCAUGCCCCUACUGGACCAUAUCGAUGGGCCCAUUAACCACUGAUAACAUCCAUUCAAUAGUGUGAUAACAUUCGAAGCGGGUGUUUGCAGACCUCAAAUAUUGUGAAUCAUCGAAAGCAAGCAGUUCUGGAAGGUUUCCCAUUGUUUCUCCGUGAAGAUCCUUCUGCACUUUUCAGAAAAUGUCUGGACACAUCUCCAGCAGACGGACAGACCAGAGGGAUAAAAAUGGCAUUGCCGAUCUUUUCAAACUUUGCUCUUGUUUUGGAGGAGGCAAUUGUUCUGAAGGACAUUUCAGACCUUCCAUCUGCUGUGUCAUACCUGUUUGGCCUUGUCUUUGCCUUGGAUUUUGAAUACCCCAAAGAACUCAAGUGUACUUUUGAGGUGAUUGAGAAGGUGUUUCUGGAAAUGGGCACUCACUGCUCUGCGAGAGUAGUCCUUUAAAACAAAACUCUUGCUGUGAAAGUUAAAAUCGUGUCAGAGUCUUUGAAAAUCUUUGAAGUUGAUCUUAAUGUUAAAAUGUGAAAGAUUGUUGUACUGUGAAUUUGUUAAUAUGUUCGAUGUUUUAAGACUGUUUAAUGUCAUAAUUAUUUUAGUUUUUUGGUGUUAUGCACGUUAUACACACUUUUUUGCUCCGCAAAGGUACUAUUGCUGAGAUUUGUUAAAGACAUGUUAAAAGGUUAAAGGUGAUACAUUUAUCUUUAUUUUUUAUGUUUUUAAUUAUUAUUAAUUUUGGCAUUUUCCAGGGUUUCUUUAUAUUUAUUAUAUUGACUGUCAUUUAUAUAUUUAUAUAUAUAUAAUUUUUCCUGUUAGGAAGUAUGACUUAUUUGACCUUGUUUGUAUUUCUUUGACAGUUACUGUAUAAAUGCAAACUAGAACAUAACAUAUUUGUCUAAUGAACUCACAGAAAAAAGGUUCACAUAACAUUGACUUUACUCAGUGAUUUUAGUUGAGUGAACAACUUUUUCAAAAGUUGAGUAAACUCAAAAAAGCUGUGCAGCAAGUUGCCUUGAAAAUUUAAGUUGAGUCAACUUCUUAUUUUUUACAGUGAAGGGGGUUGUUUACAGCUCACAAACCAACAUUACAGACUUUAAAGCUACACUAAAUACCGAUACUGACAGGGUUCAUGGCUGAAAUUUAUUAAAGAAACAUGAUAAUACUGGAAGCACUGCAGAUGUGUAGUGUGUGUAAAAAAUCUUCUAAACAGGAGGAAUUAUCAUUUUAUUUAUUAAUCCAUUAUGCUGUCUGCUGUCUGCACUGUCCAUUAUCUGUAGGGUCUUCCAGUGAAAGGGGUUACAAUUCCCAAACCAGACAAUGAUGAUGCCAGUCUGUGUGGUGUCGAACAGUGGGUGGAGUUGUCCAGGUGAGGUGAUUUACAAUGCCAGUGUGUACUGUGGAGCUAUUUAUUCACAGAUUAGUGUGAUCAGCACAAAACAUUCUGAAGCUGACUGUUUUGUCUCUUUUUUGCUCAACAUUUAGAGACAUGUGAUUUGCAUCAGGCCAUAAGCAACUUGAUCUCUUCUCUGAAUUAUGUCUCACUAAUGAGGCCAAUGUAGUGUGGCAUAUUGGAUCAGUGUAUUGCAUCACUACUCCUUUCCUGUACUCCUCCAAAGGUUAUAACAGACCCUGGAGAAGUGAGGAUAGACAUACUUUCCCUUUCAUGAUGACUCAAUGCCAUGAAUGGAAACAGUGAAAUAUGGGAUCAGAUAUGAAGUAGAUGUGUGAUGUGAGUGGAGAUGGUGUAUCUGCACGCACUGCCACGUACUAUUGUAGAGCUUCACUGACGCGGUAGGAGAGGGUUAUGGCGCUCUGAUUUGCGCCAGGCCUGACAUCAUCUAUGAAUGAUAGGUUCAAGUGAUGAGAGUGUGACAUGAAACACAGCUGCCCUUUAGUCAGAUUGCAUCAGCCAUAUUGCCAUGGAGAGCAGGUGACUACACUGCAAUUGCUUAAGGCUCCGGAAGUGUUUGGUUAUCCUUGUGUUCAAAUGUUAAAAUGGAGAGGUUCAUAAAGCAUCAGGAUUUCUAGUAAUACUUUUUUGAAAAUGUAAUAAUUAUGUAAGUAAUUUCCCCUCAUUUGAUCGUAUUAAAUGUACAAUAUCCUUUAAGCUAUUUAUAGGCUUACAGCUCAAAAGAGCUAACUGUGAAUACCAAAAUACAUAUACUGUAUGUGCUUGCAGGACAUAAUCAGCUAUACUGGCUUUACUCCAGGUUCUAUUUUUUUUUUAACCCUUCUGCAGGCCUGGGGUCUAUUUGA